rnacentral:rRNA from 1 species
GGGAAAUUGCCCAGUCGAGGGGGAUAACAGUUGGAAACGACUGCUAAUACCGCAUACGCCCUACGGGGGAAAGCAGGGGACCUUCGGGCCUUGCGCGAUUGGAUAUGCCCAGGUGGGAUUAGCUAGUUGGUGAGGCAAUGGCUCACCAAGGCGACGAUCCCCUAGCUGGUCUGAGAGGAUGAUCAGCACACUGGAACUUGAGACACGGUCCAGACUCCUACGGGAGGCAGCAGUGGGGAAUAUUGCACAAUGGGGGAAACCCCUGAUGCAGCAUGCCGCGUGUGUGAAGAAGGCCUUCGGGUUGUAAAGCACUUUCAGCGACGGCNGGACAGGUCAGUAGCUAAUAUCUGCUGACUGUGACGUUACUCGCAAGANAGAAGCACCGGCUAACUUCCGUGCCCAGCAGCCGCGGUAAUACGGGACGGGUGCACAGCGUUAACUCCGCGAACUUACCUGNGCGUUCACACANGCGCCACGGCAUGGCGGCUCUGGACUCACACGUUCACNAUUGUUCAAACAGGCCCCCAGGGGGCCUCUCACAAACCUUUUGGGGGACANAUCUUGGCCCCUUUCUUCAAAAANCAGUCUGUGGCUCCCUGA